rnacentral:rRNA from 1 species
GAUGAACGCUGGCGGCGUGCUUAACACAUGCAAGUCGAACGGUGAAGCAGAGCUUGCUCUGUGGAUCAGUGGCGAACGGGUGAGUAACACGUGAGCAACCUGCCCCUGACUCUGGGAUAAGCGCUGGAAACGGCGUCUAAUACUGGAUAUGAGCUGCGACCGCAUGGUCAGCAGUUGGAAAGAUUUUUCGGUCUGGGAUGGGCUCACGGCCUAUCAGCUAGUUGGUGAGGUAAUGGCUCACCAAGGCGUCGACGGGUAGCCGGCCUGAGAGGGUGACCGGCCACACUGGGACUGAGACACGGCCCAGACUCCUACGGGAGGCAGCAGUGGGGAAUAUUGCACAAUGGGCGAAAGCCUGAUGCAGCAGCGCCGCGUGAGGGAUGACGGCCUUCGGGUUGUAAACCUCUUUUAGCAGGGAAGAAGCGAAAGUGACGGUACCUGCAGAAAAAGCGCCGGCUAACUACGUG